rnacentral:rRNA from 1 species
GAUGAACGCUGGCGGCGUGCCUAAUACAUGCAAGUCGAGCGAAUGGAUUGAGAGCUUGCUCUUAUGAAGUUAGCGGCGGACGGGUGAGUAACACGUGGGUAACCUGCCCAUAAGACUGGGAUAACUCCGGGAAACCGGGGCUAAUACCGGAUAGCAUUUUGAACCGCAUGGUUCGAAAUUGAAAGGCGGCUCCGGCUGUCACUUAUGGAUGGACCCGCGUCGCAUUAGCUAGUUGGUGAGGUAACGGCUCACCAAGGCAACGAUGCGUAGCCGACCUGGGAGGGUGAUCGGCCACACUGGGACUGAGACACGGCCCAGACUCCUACGGGAGGCAGCAGUAGGGAAUCUUCCGCAAUGGACGAAAGUCUGACGGAGCAACGCCGCGUGAGUGAUGAAGGCUUUCGGGUCGUAAAACUCUGUUGUUAGGGAAGAACAAGUGCUAGUUGAAUAAGCUGGCACCUUGACGGUACCUAACCAGAAAGCCACGGCUAACUACGUGCCAGCCGCCGCGGUAA